rnacentral:rRNA from 1 species
GACGAACGCUGGCGGCGUGCUUAACACAUGCAAGUCGAACGGAAAGGCCCUGCUUUUGUGGUGUGCUCGAGUGGCGAACGGGUGAGUAACACGUGAGUAACCUGCCCUUGACUUUGGGAUAACUUCAGGAAACUGGGGCUAAUACCGGAUAGGAGCUCCUGCUGCAUGGUGGGGGUUGGAAAGUUUCGGCGGUUGGGGAUGGACUCGCGGCUUAUCAGCUUGUUGGUGGGGUAGUGGCUUACCAAGGCUUUGACGGGUAGCCGGCCUGAGCGGGUGACCGGCCACAUUGGGACUGAGAUACGGCCCAGACUCCUACGGGAGGCAGCAGUGGGGAAUAUUGCACAAUGGGCGGAAGCCUGAUGCAGCAACGCCGCGUGCGGGAUGACGGCCUUCGGGUUGUAAACCGCUUUCGCCUGUGACGAAGCGUGAGUGACGGUAAUGGGUAAAGAAGCACCGGCUAACUACGUG